AUUGAACGCUAGCUACAGGCUUAACACAUGCAAGUCGAGGGACCGGCGCGCGGGUGAGUCACACGUAUCCAACCUGCCCUUUACUCGGGGAUAGCCUUUCGACAGAAAGAUUAAUACCCGAUGUAAAGGAUGGGGAUGCGUUCCAUUAGGUUGUUGGUGAGGUAACGGCUCACCAAGACUUCGAUGGAUAGGGGUUCUGAGAGUAAGGUCCCCCGCAUUGGAACUGAGACCCGGUCCAAACUCGUACGGGAGGCAGCAGUGAGGAAGAUUGGUCAAUGGGCGUUAGCCUGAACCAGCCAAGUAGCGUGAAGGAUGAAGGCUUAUGGGUCGUAAACUUCUUUUAUAUAAGAAUAUGUAUUAUAUGAAUAAGGAUCGGCUAACUCCGUGCCAGCAGCCGCGGUAAUAC
rnacentral:rRNA from 1 species